AUGUACCACUCGUACACUCCGGUUCUGAGCGCGCCGUCCGCACCCACCUGACGACUGCUCGCUACGUUUUGUUAGCC
rnacentral:sRNA from 1 species